rnacentral:tRNA from 1 species
UCCCAAAUGGUCUAGUGGUUAAGACUCUGCAUUCCCACUGCAGGGGGAGCGGGUUUGAUCCCUGUUGAGGAAC